rnacentral:rRNA from 1 species
GCUCCUUUGACGUUAGCGGCGGACGGGUGAGUAACACGUGGGUAACCUACCUAUAAGACUGGGACAACUUCGGGAAACCGGAGCUAAUACCGGAUAAUAUGUUGAACCGCAUGGUUCAAUAGUGAAAGAUGGUUUUGCUAUCACUUAUAGAUGGACCCGCGCCGUAUUAGCUAGUUGGUGAGGUAACGGCUCACCAAGGCAACGAUACGUAGCCGACCUGAGAGGGUGAUCGGCCACACUGGAACUGAGACACGGUCCAGACUCCUACGGGAGGCAGCAGUAGGGAAUCUUCCGCAAUGGGCGAAAGCCUGACGGAGCAACGCCGCGUGAGUGAUGAAGGUCUUAGGAUCGUAAAACUCUGUUAUUAGGGAAGAACAAACGUGUAAGUAACUGUGCACGUCUUGACGGUACCUAAUCAGAAAGCCACGGCUAACUACGUGCCAGCAGCCGCGGUAAUACGUAGGUGGCAAGCGUUAUCCAGAAUUAUUGGGCGUAAAGCGCGCGUAGGCGGUUUUUUAAGUCUGAUGUGAAAGCCCACGGCUCAACCGUGGAGGGUCAUUGGAAACUGGAAAACUUGAGUGCAGAAGAGGAAAGUGGAAUUCCAUGUGUAGCGGUGAAAUGCGCAGAGAUAUGGAGGAACACCAGUGGCGAAGGCGACUUUCUGGUCUGUAACUGACGCUGAUGUGCGAAAGCGUGGGGAUCAAACAGGAUUAGAUACCCUGGUAGUCCACGCCGUAAACGAUGAGUGCUAAGUGUUAGGGGGUUUCCGCCCCUUAGUGCUGCAGCUAACGCUUAAGCACUCCGCCUGGG